rnacentral:piRNA from 1 species
UCACCAGGAAAAGGAGAUGUAAUCUGUAAA